rnacentral:rRNA from 1 species
AUACAGAGGGUGCGAGCGUUAAUCGGAAUUACUGGGCGUAAAGCGCGCGUAGGCGGCUACUUAAGUCAGAUGUGAAAUCCCCGGGCUCAACCUGGGAACUGCAUCUGAUACUGGGUAGCUAGAGUUUAGGAGAGGGAAGUAGAAUUUCAGGUGUAGCGGUGAAAUGCAUAGAGAUCUGCAGGAAUACCAGUGGCGAAGGCGGCUUGCUGGCCUAAAACUGACGCUGAGGUGCGAAAGCGUGGGUAGCAAACGGGAUUAGAAACCCCAGUAGUCC